rnacentral:rRNA from 1 species
GACGAACGCUGGCGGCGUGCUUAACACAUGCAAGUCGAACGGAAAGGCCUGCUUUCCCUUGUGGAUUGCGGGUACUCGAGUGGCGAACGGGUGAGUAACACGUGAGUGAUCUGCCCCCAACUUGGGUAUAAGCCUGGGAAACUGGGUCUAAUUCCCGAUAGGACUGCAGGGUGGUGCCUGUGGUGGAAAACGAUUUUCUAGUGGUUGGGGAUGAGCUCGCGGCCUAUCAGCUUGUUGGUGGGGUAAUGGCCUACCAAGGCGGCGACGGGUAGCCGGCCUGGGAGGGUGGACGGCCACAUUGGGACUGAGAUACGGCCCAGACUCCUACGGGAGGCAGCAGUGGGGAAUAUUGCACAAUGGGCGGAAGCCUGAUGCAGCGACGCCGCGUGGGGGAUGACGGGCUUCGGGUUGUAAACUCCUUUCGACCGCGAGGAAGCCACCUGGUUGGAAGGGUGGUGACGGUAGUGGUAGAAGAAGCACCGGCUAACUACGUG